rnacentral:lncRNA from 1 species
GAAUCAGAGACCAAAGUGUUUUCUCAGCCACUGUCUCACUGGGUGACUGUGGCCAUCUCAGGUCACCUUAAUCUCCUAUUUUUUGUUUUUAUGGAGAACCCUAAGACAACCUCCACCCAGGUUUCAAGGUCUUCCUUAAUUCAACCCCACCCUAACAUCCAGUCUCAUUUCAAAAGAUUAAUAUUACUAUAUGAACAGUUUACAGCAUGCCAAGCGCUGUGCUAAGGGCUUUAUAUGCAUCAUCUCAAUUAAUCUGUAUAACAGUACCCUGAGGUAGGCCUAUUUUUAUUUCCCUUAAGAGAUAAGAACACUUAGCCUCUGAAUAAUUCUGGGAAUUUAGCCCAAGCCUGCCUGACUCCUAAAUCUGUAUUAUUAGUCUGAGUCUAUGCUAUCUCCACAACCUGACAAAUGAGCCCUUCUACAAUCAUUUGGCUGAAACUUUCAGUUCGUUUUGGUCUCCAUGUCUUAGAAAGGUAAUUAUUUCUAAACUUUGUUGCAUAACAGAAUGACCUGGGGGAUUUUUUUUUUUUUUUUUUAAUAUCUAAGGUGCUCAGCUCUAACAUUCAGAGCCGCAGUUGUUCUGUGGUGUGGUUCAGGAAUCAGUCUUUUAAAGUUCCCAGGUGAUUCUAGCAGGCCAGACUGCAAGUCAAUAUUGGGAAUAAGGGCCUUAGGGGUUAGACCAGUGGUUCUCAAUCUUUAACCUGUAUCAGAAUCACCUGGAGGUCCUGUUAAAACACAGGCUGCUGAGUCCUGCCUCUCAAAGUUUCUAAUUCAGUAGAUUUGGGAUAGGGUCCAAUAAUCUGCAUUUGUGAUAAGUUUCCAUGUAAUCCUACUACCAGUAGUCCAGGGACCACACUUUGAGAACCACUGGGUAAAGCUCUUCUCCUUGCUUUAAAUAUGUUCUUUGUACCUUCCUCAAAUCCAAAUUUCUGCUUAUCCUUAAAGCCAACUUCUCCAUAAGGCCAGCCCACUUUGGAACUUCCGCUCCUUCCUCUUCCGCUUCCUGCAGCCUCUAUUUACCCCGUGUCAUCCAAGCUGGCAGGUUCUGGCAGCCCAGGUGAACAAUGCAUUCUGGCUGUUUUUGUUCUUUCCUGUGAUAGCAGGAUGUCUAACUUCACAGUUAAAAAGCCCGAUAAAUCUGUUUAGGAGCUGCCUGGUAUGUCGAUGUGUACACAUGCUCUCAGCCACAGCGGAACCCCCCCUUCCUCUUCUCCCAUUUAUCUGCCCCAGUCUCUCUGAGGAUGCUAUGAAGGCUGUCUGGACGUGGCUCAGAAAACUGCUGUGAAGACCGCAGGGAGCACAGGACGGCCGAGUCCCCAGCGCUGCCUGUGCCAGGCCUGGCCCACCUGCUGCUGGCACUAGGGACUCAGCACUUUGCGGAAGCUUGGGUAUGACAGCCCUCAGUCGACGUCCCCACUGGCUAAUUUCCACACUCUGAACCAGACCCCUCUCCCUGGGAGCGAGGAGUGAACC